ACCUGGGUGGCUCAGUGGGUAGAGCAUGUGACUUUUGAUUUCAGGGUUGUAAGUUAGAGCCCCAGGUC
rnacentral:tRNA from 1 species